GCCUCGGUGGAUCGUUGGUUGAUCAUCCCUUCUCUGUUUUGGAGGCGUAAGAAUAUCGUGGGAAGGCGAGGGUUCGAGUCCCUCCCGAGGCA